rnacentral:rRNA from 1 species
GGAGGGUGCUAGCGUUGUUCGGAAUUACUGGGCGUAAAGGGCGCGUAGGCGGCUCUUUCAGUCGGGUGUGAAAGCCCGGGGCUCAACCCCGGAACGGCACCCGAGACGGGAGGGCUGGAGACCGGGAGAGGAGGGUGGAAUAGCCAGUGUAGAGGUGAAAUUCGUAGAUAUUGGCUGGAACACCGGUGGCGAAAGCGGCUCUCUGGCCCGGUUCUGACGCUGAGGCGCGAAAGCGUGGGGAGCAAACAGGAUUAGAUACCCUGGUAGUCCACGCCCUAAACGAUGUGUGCUGGGCGUCGGGGGGCUUGCCCCUCGGUGCCGGAGCCAACGCGGUAAGCACACCGCCUGGGGAGUACGGCCGCAAGGUUAAA